rnacentral:misc_RNA from 1 species
GUGAAGUUCAUCCCCGUUCGUCGGCCUCGCUUGCCAAUCAUGACGCAGUUCCUGCCCUUUGCCAAAGACUAAUGGCCAUUGAGUUUUUGGAUGUGGCUGAACAGUGUUUGCAAGCACUAGAGAAAAUCUCGCGGGAGCAACCUAUAGUGUGUUUGCAGUCUGGGGCUAUAAUGGCCAUUUUACGUUACAUUGAUUUCUUUUCGACAAGUGAGCAGAGGAAGGCACUGUUGACAGUCGUAAAUAUUUGUAAAAAGCUUCCCUCCGGAUGUCCUCCACCUUUAAUGGAGGCGGUUCCCGUUUUGUGCGAUCUUCUUCUAUAUGAGGAUAGACAGCUUGUUGAGAGCGUAGCAACUUGUUUGAUUAGAAUAG